GACGAACGCUGGCGGCGUGCUUAACACAUGCAAGUCGAACGGGCCCGCUCUCUUUUUUGGGGGUGGGUUGAGUGGCGAACGGGUGAGUAUCACGUGAGUAACCUGCCCCCUGCUCCUGGAUAACUGCUUGAAAGGGCGGCUAAUACGGGGUGUGCCGGCUGGUCCGCAUGGGCCUGGUCGGGAUAGUUUCAUCUUCGGGUGUUUCGGUGGGGGAUGGGCUCGCGGGCUAUCAGCUUGUUGGGGGGGUGAUGGCCCACCCAGGCGGUGACGGGUGGCCGGCCUGGGAGGGUGGGCGGCCGCACUGGGACUGAGACACGGCCCAGACUCGGGCGGGAGGCAGCGGUGGGGGGGAUUGCAGAAUGGGCGGAAGCCUGAUGCAGCGACGGCGCGUGAGGGAUGGAGGCCUUCGGGUUGUGAACCUCUUUCUCCGGUGGUGAAGGCCCUGUCCGGUGCGGCGGGGUUGACGGUAGCCGGGUAUGAAGCGCCGGCUAACUACGUG
rnacentral:rRNA from 1 species